CAGCCGCCACGGGAAUACGGAGGGUGCAAGCGUUAAUCGGAAUUACUGGGCGUAAAGCGUGCGUAGGCGGUUCGUUAAGUCUGUUGUGAAAGCCCCGGGCUCAACCUGGGAAUGGCAAUGGAUACUGGCGAGCUAGAGUGUGUCAGAGGAUGGUGGAAUUCCCGGUGUAGCGGUGAAAUGCGUAGAGAUCGGGAGGAACAUCAGUGGCGAAGGCGGCCAUCUGGGACAACACUGACGCUGAGGCACGAAAGCGUGGGGAGCAAACAGGAUUAGAUACCCCUGUAGUCCCUGUCUCUUAUAC
rnacentral:rRNA from 1 species